AUGAACUGUGGGUGGAGGUUCGUGACAUUGUACAGGAGACAGGGAUCAAGACCAUCCCUGUGGAAAAGAAAGCAAAAAAGCAAAAUUCUGUCUAAGGAGGCCUUACAAAUAGCUGUGAAAAGAAGAGAAGCAAAAAGCAAAGGAGAAAAGGAAAGACAUAAGCAUCUGAAUGCAGAGUUCCAAAGAAUAGCAAGGAGAGAGAAGAAAGCCUUCCUCAGCGAUCAAUGCAAAGAAAUAGAGGAAAACAACAGAGUGGGAAAGACUAGAAAUCUCUUCAAGAAAAUUAGAGAUACCAAGGGAAUAUUUCAUGCAAAGAUGGGCACGAUAAAGGACAGAAAUGAUAUGGACCUAACAGAAGCAGAAGAUAUUAAGAAGAGGUGGCAAGAAUACACAGAAGAACUGUACAAAAAAGAUCUUCACCACCCAGAUAAUCACGAUGGUGUUAUCACUCACCUAGAGCCAGACAUCCUGGAAUGUGAAGUCAAGUGGGCCUUAGAAAGCAUCACUACGAACAAAGCUAGUGGAGAUGAUGGAGUUCCAGUUGAGCUAUUUCAAAUCCUAAAAGAUGAUGCUGUGAAAGUGCUUCACUCAAUAUGGCAGCAAAUUUGGAAAACUCAGCAGUGGCCACAAAAAAGGUCAGUUUUCAUUCCAAUACCAAAGAAAGGCAAUGCCAAAGAAUUCUCAUACUACCGCACAAUUGUACUCAUCUCACACGCUAGUAAAGUAAUGCUCAAAAUUCUCCAAGCCAGACUUCAGCACUACGUGAACUGUGAACUUCCAGAUGUCCAACCUGGUUUUAGAAAAGGCAGAGGAACCAGACAUCAAAUUGCCAACAUCCGCUGGAUCAUGGAAAAAGCAAGAGAGUUCCAGAAAAACAUCUAUUUCUGCUUUAUUGACUAUGCCAAAGCCUUUGACUGUGUGGAUCACAAUAAACUGUGGAAAAUUCUGAAAGAGAUUGGGAAUACUAGACCACCUGACCUGCAUCUUGAGAAACCUAUAUGCAGGUCAGGAAGCAACAGUUAG
ensembl:lncRNA